AAAAACUCCAAUGAACCACCAUUUUUUACAAGAUUAAUAUGAAUAUGAAGUUAUUUUCUUUAAAAUUAUUGAAGAAUUUGAACCUUAUUGGUGGUUUUUUCUACCACCAUAUCUUUCUCUCCCUUCUCCGUCUCUUCGACCAAAUUAAAUUUGAGCACAAAUUAAAUUCAAAAUAAAGAAGAAAUAAAUUUUUUUAAAGAAAAGAUAGAAUAAAUGGGAGGAGAUUUAAAAUGGGGAAGAAAAUGAAGUAAGAGAAGAG
rnacentral:lncRNA from 1 species